AGCGAACGCUGGCGGCAGGCCUAACACAUGCAAGUCGAGCGCCGUAGCAAUACGGAGCGGCAGACGGGUGAGUAACGCGUGGGAACGUGCCCUUCGGUUCGGAAUAACUCAGGGAAACUUGAGCUAAAACCGGAUACGUCCGAAAGGAGAAAGAUUUAUCGCCGAAGGAUCGGCCCGCGUAAGAUUAGCUAGUUGGUGAGGUAACGGCUCACCAAGGCUCUGAUCUUUAGCUGGCUGAGAGGACGAUCAGCCACACUGGGACUGAGACACGGCCCAGACUCCUACGGGAGGCAGCAGUGGGGAAUAUUGGACAAUGGGCGCAAGCCUGAUCCAGCCAUGCCGCGUGAGUGAUGAAGGCCUUAGGGUUGUAAAGCUCUUUUGGCAGGGACGAUAAUGACUGUACCUGCAGAAUAACG
rnacentral:rRNA from 1 species